GACAGAGGCCUCAAGCGUUAGGCGGAAUCACUGGGCGUUAAAGCGUGUGGUAGGCGGGUCGUUAAGUACCUUGUGAAAUCCCAGCGGCUCAACCCGUGGAACUGCUGGGUAUACUGGCGAUCUUGGGCCAACUAGGGGCAACUGGAACAACGGUGGAGCGGAUGAAAUGCGUAGAUAUCGUUUGGAACGCCAAAGGUGAA
rnacentral:rRNA from 1 species